AAAUUUUCUUAAGGAACUCGGCAAAAUCCCAAUGGCCCACCAGGGCAUAUUGGAACACGGGCCUCGACUGUUUACCAAAAACAUAGCCCUCGGCCAAUAUGAAAAUAGAUGUAUAGAGGGUGAUGCCUGCCCAAUGGUUGUAUCUAAAAGCGGUUGAUAAAAGUCGACCUCGUAAGGACAAUUGAAUGGCCGCGGUAACACUGACCGUGAUAAUGUAGCGUAAUCAAUAGCCAAUUAAUUGUUGGCCAGUAUGAAUGGCGCCACGAAGGCCCCACUGUCUUAAGGAAAUUCCCAGUGAAAUUGAAUUCGUAGUGAAGAUGCUACGUCCAAUUUGUUAGACGAAAAGACCCCGUUGAGCUUUACUGGGGCACUUACACGGCCCCGGCCUUCCCGUGUCCGGGAACCGGCCGAAUUUAAAUGGGUGGUUUAGACUAUGUGGCAGCCCCCCGCCGGGGCAGAUGAAACCCCACUCCCCCAUGUCAAAGGGGCUAACCCUCCCCUUGGGGGGGACAGUGUAAGUAGGACAGUUUGGUUGGGGCGACCGCCUUUUAAAGAGUAACGAAGGUGCGCUUAAGGUGCGCAAUUAAUGACUGAAGCCUGACUGCGAGGGGGACACCCCGAGCAGACACCCCUAAGCCCGCCCGAAGGGCGGCGGUGGGGUGGGCCAUAGUGACCCGUUAAUUUAGAGUGGAAUAGUUAACGAUCAACGAAUAAAAGUUACCACGGGG
rnacentral:rRNA from 1 species